rnacentral:lncRNA from 1 species
UUGUAGUCCAUGCGUAUCGGUUUUAUUUUUCCUUCCGUGUAGGUAUAACACUAUUCUUUACUGAUUCAGACGUUUAAUCUGGUUUUCUGUACGCAGUAUUUUCAGUCUAUUUAGAUAUUGAAAGGAUAAAUUAACUUUCAAGCUGUGAGCGAUAACGACAGCAAUCUGCGCCAGUAAAACCUCGUGAUGGAGUGGCUGACACUUCUAUUGUUAUCAUAUUUCAGUACCAGAGGUGUUGCGUUGAAUGAAUGUGUUACUUGUGAAUGCUGUAAAGGUGGAUAUUCCCGUUGUCAAUACUACAACUUUACCAGUAAUUUCUGUCUGGACGGCUGUAUUGAUGGGUAUUUUGGAAUACGUUGCCGACACGCUUGUAUAACCAAUUGUCAGAAUUGUUCAGGUGCAACUCACUGUACAAAAUGUAACAAUGGUUUCUAUGGUUUUAAUUGUAAAAACUGUCCAACUAACUGUUUAAGCUGUUCCUAUUUAAACUCAUGCUAUAGCUGUAAAG